GCGUAAUGAUUUGAGCACUGUCUCGGCAAUAAAUCCGGUGAAAUUGUAGUGCAAGUGAAGAUGCUUGCUACCCGCGGUUGGACGGAAAGACCCCGUAGAGCUUUACUGUAGCUUAGCAUUGAAUUUCGGUAUUGUCUGUACAGGAUAGGUGGGAGACUUAGAAGCGAGGGCGUCAGCUUUCGUGGAGUCGUCCUUGGGAUACCACCCUGACAGUACUGGAAUUCUAACUGGAGGCCAUGAAUCUGGUCACAGGACAUUGCUAGGUGGGCAGUUUGACUGGGGCGGUCGCCUCCUAAAAGGUAACGGAGGCGCCCAAAGGUUCCCUCAGCGCGGUCGGAAAUCGCGCGUAGAGUGCAAAGGCAGAAGGGAGCCUGACUGCGACACAUACAGGUGGAGCAGGGACGAAAGUCGGGCUUAGUGAUCCGGUGGGUCUGUAUGGAAGGGCCAUCGCUCAACGGAUAAAAGCUACCUCGGGGAUAACAGGCUGAUCUCCCCCAAGAGUCCACAUCGACGGGGAGGUUUGGCACCUCGAUGUCGGCUCGUCGCAUCCUGGGGCUGUAGUCGGUCCCAAGGGUUGGGCUGUUCGCC
rnacentral:rRNA from 1 species